AAUAGAAUAACCCCGGGUAGUCCACGCCGUAAACGAUGAGUGCUAAGUGUUAAGAGGGUUUCCGCCCUUUAGUGCUGCAGCUAACGCAUUAAGCACUCCGCCUGGGGAGUACGGCCGCAAGGCUGAAACUCAAAGGAAUUGACGGGGGGCCCGCACAAGCGGUGGAGCAUGUGGUUUAAUUCGAAGUAACGCGAAGAACCUUACCAGGUCUUGACAUCCUCUGCCAACCCUAGAGAUAGGGCGUUCCCCUUCGGGGGACAGAGUGACAGGUGGUGCAUGGUUGUCGUCAGCUCGUGUCGUGAGAUGUUGGGUUAAGUCCCGCAACGAGCGCAACCCUUGAUCUUAGUUGCCAGCAUUCAGUUGGGCGCUCUAAGGUGACUGCCGGUGACAAACCGGAGGAAGGUGGGGAUGACGUCAAAUCAUCAUGCCCCUUAUGACCUGGGCUACACACGUGCUACAAUAGAUGGUACAAAGAGCUGCGAAUCCGCGAGGGUAAGCGAAUCUCAUAAAGCCAUUCUCGAGUUCGGAUUGUAGG
rnacentral:rRNA from 1 species